CAGAACGAACGCUGGCGGCACGCCUAACACAUGCAAGUCGAGCGCACCUUCGGGUGAGCGGCGGACGGGUUAGUAACGCGUGGGAACAUACCCUUCUCUAAGGAAUAGCCACUGGAAACGGUGAGUAAUACCUUAUACGCCCUUCGGGGGAAAGAUUUAUCGGAGAUGGAUUGGCCCGCGUUAGAUUAGAUAGUUGGUGGGGUAAUGGCCUACCAAGUCUACGAUCUAUAGCUGGUUUUAGAGGAUGAUCAGCAACACUGGGACUGAGACACGGCCCAGACUCCUACGGGAGGCAGCAGUGGGGAAUCUUAGACAAUGGGCGAAAGCCUGAUCUAGCGAUGCCGCGUGAGUGAUGAAGGCCUUAGGGUCGUAAAGCUCUUUCGCCAGGGAUGAUAAUGACAGUACCUGGUAAAGAAACCCCGGCUAACUCCGUGCCAGCAGCCGCGGUAAUACGGAGGGGGUUAGCGUUGUUCGGAAUUACUGGGCGUAAAGCGCACGUAGGCGGACUAUUAAGUCAGAGGUGAAAUCCCAGGGCUCAACCCUGGAACUGCCUUUGAUACUGGUAGUCUUGAGUUCGAGAGAGGUGAGUGGAAUUCCGAGUGUAGAGGUGAAAUUCGUAGAUAUUCGGAGGAACACCAGUGGCGAAGGCGGCUCACUGGCUCGAUACUGACGCUGAGGUGCGAAAGUGUGGGGAGCAAACAGGAUUAGAUACCCUGGUAGUCCACACCGUAAACGAUGAAUGCCAGUCGUCAGCAAGUAUACUUGUUGGUGACACACCUAACGGAUUAAGCAUUCCGCC
rnacentral:rRNA from 1 species